rnacentral:rRNA from 1 species
GGAAUAUUGGGCAAUGGAGGAAACUCUGACCCAGCGACGCCGCGUGCGGGAUGAAGGCCUUCGGGUUGUAAACCUCUUUUAGCAGGGAAGAAGCGAAAGUGACGGUACCUGCAGAAAAAGCGCCGGCUAACUACGUGCCAGCAGCCGCGGUAAUACGUAGGGCGCAAGCGUUGUCCGGAAUUAUUGGGCGUAAAGAGCUCGUAGGCGGUUGGUCGCGUCUGCUGUGAAAUCCCGAGGCUCAACCUCGGGCCUGCAGUGGGUACGGGCCAACUAGAGUGCGGUAGGGGAGAUCGGAAUUCCUGGUGUAGCGGUGGAAUGCGCAGAUAUCAGGAGGAACACCAAUGGCGAAGGCAGAUCUCUGGGCCGUAACUGACGCUGAGGAGCGAAAGCGUGGGGAGCGAACAGGAUUAGAUACCCUGGUAGUCCACGCCGUAAACGGUGGGAACUAGUUGUAGGGGCCAUUCCACGGCUUCUGUGACGAAGCUAACGCAUUAAGUUCCCCGCCUGGGGAGUACGGUCGCAAGACUAAAACUCAAAGGAAUUGACGG